UACAGAGGGUGCAAGCGUUAAUCGGAAUUACUGGGCGUAAAGCGUGCGUAGACGGUUCAUGUAAGAUCGGGUGUGAAAGCCCCCGGGCUCAACCUGGGAAUUGCAUUCGAGACUGCAUGGCUAGGAUGCGGAAGAGGGAAGCGGAAUUUCCGGUGUAGCGGUGAAAUGCGUAGAUAUCGGAAGGAACACCAGUGGCGGAAGGCGGCUCACUGGCCCGGUACUGACGCUG
rnacentral:rRNA from 1 species